UUUCCGUAGGUGAACCUGCGGAAGGAUCAUUCAUAAUAAAGUGUUUUGUGGCACUUUUUAAAAAUCCAUAUCCACCUUGUGUGCAAUGUUAGAUCUCGUCAAUCUUGGCGAGAUUUUUAUACAUCAACUCAUUCUUUAACUAAUUUGUCUGAAAAAUAUUAUGAAUACUUAAUUCAAAAUACAACUUUCAACAACGGAUCUCUUGGCUCUC
rnacentral:misc_RNA from 1 species